GUGCAGGAGGCGCGUCCAGCCUGGAGGCCGCCUCGUCCCCUCGCCUCACGAGGCCCGUGUCGGGCAGCCGCCCAGUCUUCCCCGGUCUGCGCGUCGUCCAGUCGGCUACUGAGCUUCCGCAAAACCGAGUGUUUCUGAAGCCCAUGAACAGACACUUUCUGUGUUGUUCCGAACAUGCUUGUAAAGAGGACAAUCCUCGGUGUGGAAGAGCUCAAGAGAGGCCACAGCUGAACUCAGACAUCAGGAGAGAGGGGCUUUGAAUCUGCCUGAAAGCCAUCCUGUUUUUGAUGACAAUGUGCAGUUUUCAUGGAGCUUCCACCAACAUACCAUCUGCACUGCUUUCACUGCGGACACCAGCUUUUCACCAGGUGUGGUACCUCCAGUGGCUCCUUGUGCCUUCCUGCUAGUGGCUUAUUGAGUCUGCGCCAAUGUGAAGCUGCUACACAGAGCAUGUUAUUGUCAUUGUGAUGACAGAAGGGCAAGAGAGCACGCAUAUUUCAAGCCUAUGCUGAAAUCACAUCCACUAACAUUGCAUUGACCAAAUCAAGUUAU